rnacentral:lncRNA from 1 species
AUGUUCCUCCUCAAUUCCCUUCGUGUGUUUUCCUCCAUUUUUCUCCUCAGUUCCCUUGGUGUUUUCUUCACUGUUCCUCCUCAGUUCCUCACUGUGUUUUCCACCAUUUUUCUCAGUUCCUCAGUGUGUUUUUCCUCAAUGUUCCUCCUCAAUUCCCUCAGUGUGUUUCUCCUCCAUUUUUCUCCUCAGUUCCCUCGGUGUGGUUUCCUCAAUGUUCCUCCUCAGUUCCUCACUGUGUUUUCCACCAUCUUUCUCAGUUCCUCGGUGUGUUUUUCCUCAAUGUUCCUCCUCAAUUCCCUCGGUGUGUUUUUCUCCAUUUUUCUCUUCAAUUCCCUCGGUGUGGUUUCCUCAAUGUUCCUCCUCAGUUCCUCAGUGUGUUUUCCACCAUUUUUCUCAGUUCCUCGGUGUAUUUUUCCUCUAUUUGUCUCCUCAGUUUCCUCAGUGUGUUUCUCCUCCAUUUUUCUCCUCAGUUUCCUCUGUGUGUUUCUCCUCCAUUUUUCUCCUCAGUUUCCUCGGUGUGUUUUCCUCAAUGUUCCUCCUCAGUUCGCUUGGUGUUUUCCUCAAUGUUCCUCCUCAAUUCCCUUCGUGUGUUUUUCUCCAUUUUUCUCCUCAGUUCCCUUGGUGUUUUCUUCAAUGUUCCUCCUCAAUUCCCUCAGCGUGUUUUCAUCAAUGUUCCUCCUCAGUUCCUCACUGUGUUUUCCACCAUUUUUCUCAGUUCCUCGGUGUGUUUUUCCUCAAUGUUCCUCUUCAAUUCCCUUGGUGUGUUUUUCUCCAUUUUUCUCCUCAAUUCCCUCGGUGCUUUUCUCAAUGUUCCUCCUCAGUUCCUUGGUGUGUUUCCCUCCAUUUUUCUCAGUUCCCCUGUUGUUUCCCAUCCCUUUCCCAGGUGCUGGAGCCCUCCCCGCGCUCGGAGCUGGCCGUGCCGGUGGUUCCAGUGCCGGUGCCGGAGGCAGCGGGCCCGGGCUGCCCGCAGGGCGGCAGGGUGGCGGCGGGCCAUGCCCAGGACCUGCUGCAGCAGUGCCUGUGUGCCGCGGGCAUCACCGAGCAGCUGCUGGAGGCCGAGGCCAAGCAGGACACAGGCGGCUUCCAGCCCUCUGCGCCUUCCCGCAGCGCCCUGCCGAUCAACCAGCCGGGCCCGGGCCGGCAGCCGCUCCUGCUGCCCUUCCUGCAGCACCCCGGGCCCUUCUCCAGCUGGCAGCUGGGCCAGGGGCCUGCUCAGCCCGGGGGACAGCAGGUGAUGGCCACUGCCCUGCCAGCGCCGCAGGUCGCGCUCCUGCAGCAGGUGCCGCAGGGGAUCAUCCUGCAGGUGAAGCAGCAAGGCCCCACCACCCUCGCCUUGCUCCCCAGUCCAGCCUCCUGUGUCCUGGGGAGUGGCCAGGGGCUGAGGCCACCAGCCCACAGACCCACUGGCCACCCCCAUUCUGUCACACUGUCACCCUGUGGCCACCAGCACCCUGGAGCAGCAGCGCCCCAGCACAGCAGCAUCCCCACACCCAACGCUGUGGGAAUUGAGCAAAAUUUCUGGUGCCUGGAGCCAAAAUGGGAGAAAUUGUACUCUUUUGUUCCUUAUUUUUAAUAAAACUCUUGAUGGAACUUGCCGUAAGAAUCCACAGUGAGAUUAUUUACUGUUAAGGCUUGAGUUUAAACACAUCCUUGAGUUAAAACACAUCCAAAACUUGUUUCAUGUUUGCAAAGUAUCAUCACCCUGGUCCCUGAGGAGAGGAAUCCAGCAUUUCUGUCCCCAUUUCUGUUGGGAAGUCAGGAGGUCCUCGUGGCAUCCAUCAGCCCCUUCAGGAGAGGAGCUGGCUUUCCUGGCAGUGUUCUUUGCUUCUGAGUUUUUCCACUUUGUUCCCAAGGUUUUCUACUUUCUUUUCCCUACAAUGUUUUUUGCCCAAUUCUCUCCUCCUUAGCAGUUUUGUCCUUCAUUUUCCAUUUUUUUCCUCUCUAAUUCCCAUUUCCCCCUUUAUUUGCAAAUUUUACACCUUUUUUCCCAGCUUUACCCCUUAUUUUCUAGUGUUCUACUUUCUUAGCUUUCCCUUUUUUAUUUCCAAUUCCUCCACUUAAUUUCCAAGAUUUUCCACUUUUUAUCUCCAAGGUUCCUUUUAUUUCUGGGUUUUUUUUUUUUUUUCUCUUUCAAGUUUCCACCCUUCAUUUCCAUAUUUCUCCACUUUGUCUCUUAGGUUUUCUGCCCCCUUUCCAAGAUUUUCCCCUUCAUUUCUCAGUUUUUCCCUUGAUUUUCAGAUUUUUUUUUUCACAUGAAAGCCUAGGAGAAACGCUGGGACUUCUCUUUGCACAGUCAGUGGGUGACAGAGCAGAGGAGGAGGAAUUUGAAAAGAGAGACAGAGUACAGGAUAAAGAUGGU